rnacentral:rRNA from 1 species
AACGAACGCUGGCGGCAGGCUUAACACAUGCAAGUCGAACGGGUGCAGCAAUGCAUCAGUGGCAGACGGGUGAGUAACACGUGGGAACCUUCCUAGGGGUACGGAACAACUCAGGGAAACUUGAGCUAAUACCGUAUACGUCCGUGAGGAGAAAGAUUUAUCGCCCUUAGACGGGCCCGCGUCGGAUUAGCUAGUUGGUGGGGUAACGGCCUACCAAGGCGACGAUCCGUAGCUGAUCUUAGAGGAUGAUCAGCCACACUGGGACUGAGACACGGCCCAGACUCCUACGGGAGGCAGCAGUGGGGAAUCUUGGACAAUGGGCGCAAGCCUUAUCCAGCCAUGCCGCGUGAGUGAAGAAGGUCUUCGGAUUGUAAAGCUCUUUUGCCAGGGACGAUAAUGACGGUACCUGGAGAAUAAGCCCCGGCAAACUUCGUGCCAGCCGCCGCGGUAAAAC